rnacentral:rRNA from 1 species
UACGUAGGGUGCAAGCGUUAAUCGGAAUUACUGGGCGUAAAGCGUGCGCAGGCGGUUAUGUAAGUCAGCUGUGAAAUCCCCGGGCUUAACCUGGGAAUGGCAGUUGAGACUGCAUGGCUAGAGUGUGUCAGAGGGGGGUAGAAUUCCACGUGUAGCAGUGAAAUGCGUAGAGAUGUGGAGGAAUACCGAUGGCGAAGGCAGCCCCCUGGGAUAACACUGACGCUCAUGCACGAAAGCGUGGGGAGCAAACAGG